CUAGAUGUGGGGACCAUUCCYCGGUUUCCGUGUCGCWGCUAACGCAUUAAGCGCCCCGCCUGGGGAGUACGGCCGCAAGGYUAAAACUCAAAGGAAUUGACGGGGGCCCGCACAAGCGGCGGAGCAUGCKGAUUAAUUCGAUGCAACGCGAAGAACCUUACCAAGGSUUGACAUACACGAGAACGCCCUAGAAAUAGGUAACUCUUUGGACACUCGUGAACAGGUGGUGCAUGGUUGUCGUCAGCUCGUGUCGUGAGAUGUUGGGUUAAGUCCCGCAACGAGCGCAACCCUCGUUCUAUGUUGCCAGCGCGUAAUGGYGGGAACUCAUAGGAGACUGCCGGGGUCAACUCGGAGGAAGGKGGGGAUGACGUCAAAUCAUCWUGCCCCUUAUGUCUUGGGCUUCACGCAUGCUACAAUGGCCGGUACAAAGGGCUGCWAUACCGUAAGGUGGAGCGAAUCCCAAAAAGCCGGUCUCAKUUCGGAUUGAGGUCUGCAACUCGACCUCWUGAAGUCGGAGUCGCUAGUAAUCGCAGAUCAKCAACGCUGCGGUGAAUACGUUCCCGGGCCUUGUACACWCCGCCCGUCAAGUCAUGAAAGUCGGUAACACCCGAAGCCGGUGGCCCAA
rnacentral:rRNA from 1 species